ACUAAAGAUUUUUUCUUUUCUCGAUUAGCUGUUAUAUAAUGUAUAAUAAAGUACUUCAAAAUAGUGAUAUUUGCACAAUUUUUUAUCUCUCCUGUAAAGUUGUCAAAAUGUCAAUACGUUUGUUUGGCUUUUAUGGGAUGUUAUAGUAGCGAAUAUAGAACGUCUGUCCAAACCUGAUAUGUCCAAAGUUCACAUUACAGAUGAAGUAAUAACUUGAUAAGUAGACAUACCCAGGCACGCCUCUGAACAAAUAGUUCAAAAUAACAAAUUUUUAAGAUGUCAAGAUUUGAUAUGUCAACGUUUCUAAUUUUUCCACUUUUAAACAUCGGCUUAUUUUUGUCUAUUAAAGAAAGAAUAACUUGAUAUGUUGAUAUAUCAUGUUAUGCCUUCUUUAAAAAUAUCCUCUAUUCUAUAAUGAAUUUAUACCGAAACUGCUAUGUCAACAUAUCACGUUUUGCUGUCUUAGAAAAGAUAAAUAAACUGGAGUAACGCCAAUAGGCAAACUGUGAUAUAUUGUCAUAUCGUGUUUUACCAACCUGCAAUAUUGAGGUUUUUUGAGGUUAGGUAUGUGUAAUAUCAUUUGCAGUUGUGUCUUUUAGUUGAAAACAAAGUGUUUUAUGUACCAACAAUGCCUUAUCCUUGUACUACGUGUAAUAAAAUAUGUAACACUCGAAGUGAACUGUUUGGACAAUUUGGAACAUGUGUAGAUAAUCUCCUACAGUGUGAUUUACGUGAUUCCAUUGAACGUGAGGUUACAGUUACUAAUAAUGACUGUUCGUUUAAUGAACAAAUUUCACCUGCUACUAUAGCAUCUGUUCCUGAUGUUUCAUUGAUGUGUAAACUUUCAACUAGUAGCAUAACCGUAACAUGUGAACCCCGAGGAAAUAUUACAAUUUUAUAAUCUGUAGUCUCAUUAGUGUAAUAUAGACUUAAUUUCGCUAAAACUAAUAAAAAAGUUAAUCAAAACUAACAUUGUUGUAUCGUUGUAAGACAGUUUCGAUGAAAACAGUGAUGAAUCUCAGAUGCAGACCCACAAUGGACUCCAUCGCUUGAAAACCAUUCUAGGAAAAGAAAGCUAUUUUAUCAGCAGGAAACGACACGAUCGGAAGUGAUACUGAAGAUGAAGCUGUGAUUGAUAAUGAAUUUGAUAUAGCUAGCAGUAAGCAAAUGAUCAGCAUCAAAGUAGCAAAAAGAAAGUACGUAAAACCACAAUAACUAAGUCUGCUCCUUCUAAACCCAAGCGUUGGUAACGUUGCUAAAAUUGCACCAGUAAAUAAAAUUAACCCUAGAAAGUGCCCUUGGAUGACACAUAAUAUCAAACAGAUACAACAAAAGAAAGAUAGAGCCUACAAAAAUUUUGAUUUACAAAACUAAACACAGACUGGGAAUGCUAUAAAAAAAUAUAGAAAUGAAGUUGUGUCAACGAUUAGAAAAAACAAAACACGACAUUAUGAACAAAAUAUUGACAACUGUAAAGGGGAGAGCAAAAGGUUGUGGAGAACGCUGAAGGUAUUAACUGGAACAAAGAAACAAUCUACUGAUUCCAUGGAAAUAGAUUUUGAGCAGUACAACAGCUCUGUAGAGGAAAACUUCAAUGAAUUCUUUUCAGACUCGUUGCAUGAAGUUUCAGAGAGUAUAGAGUAUGAAAAUUGGGAAGGCCAAGAUUCUAAUACCGAAACAAACUUUUCCCAUUUUUAGACCAUAAAUUUGUCUCAGUUAAGAAAAUUUAUAUAUGCCUUAAAAAAUAAAGGUUCGAGCGAUGGCAGCUUAAAUAUUCAACUAGUAAAGUAAUUAUUCUGUGUAAUUGGAUAUCCCCUUCUGUACUUGAUUAAUGCCUAAAUCACCACCGGAAAAAUACCACGUGACCUAAAAACUAAUGUGAUAACACCUAUCCCAAAAAUAAAUAAACUAAAGAAACCUUCAGAGUUUAGGCCUAUUAAUCUUUUACCAGAUGUAAAUAAGAUUAUUGAAACCAUCAUCUGUAAUCAACUUAGGGAGUACUUCGAAAAAAGUAACUUAUUGUUUAUGGGUCGGGCUUUAGAAGUCAGCAUUCCUGUGAGUCAGCGAUUCAGUACGUGUGUGCAAAUUGGCGAGAAAAAAUAAACAUUGUCGAAUUCUUAUAAGAAAACUGGAACACUAUGGUGUGAAUAAAUGUGGUUUAAGUUGGAUUAAUAACUAUUUAGAAAACAGAUUUCAUAAAACAACAAUAUCAGGCAGGGUAAGAAAAGUGUGCUGGGUGUACCCCAGGGAAGUGUCCUGGGACCACUUUUGUUUAUAAUAUAUAUUAAUGAUCUUCAUAUGACUUUAAAAAAUUGUUUCAUUAAUUUAUUUGCUGAUGAUAUCCUUCAACUCUUCAAAAACAAAAUGUAUGGUGGUGGACUCGGCUAUAAAUUGUAAAAAAUUUUAUAAUCUAAAUUUUUCUUUAUCCAUAAACAGUGUGCCUAUAGAAUUUGUAAACGAAAUUAAAUAUUUGGGUGUCAUUUUAGAUCCACAAUUAAAUUUUUCAAUUCA